UGGAUGGCCCCGCGAAGUUAAGUUCGGGGCUCGCGCUUGCACUCCGCCGCGCCUUCCUCCCAGUUUCCGUCCACUCGGCGCACCGGCUUCGUCCCCCCAAAUCUCGGACCGUCUCUUCGCGCCCCCUCUCCCUCUGCCCCCAGUGCUGCGCUCUUCCCCUCUUGGCGCUCUCGCGGCUGGGGGAGGGGCGGGGGUCACCAUGGCCGAAGCGCCUCAGGUGGUGGAGAUCGACCCGGGCUUCGAGCCGCUGCCCCGGCCGGACUUUAGCCAGUCCAAUUCGGCCACCUGCAGCCCCACGCCGUCUGGCGGCGCGGCUGCCAACCCCGACGCCGCCGCGGGCCUGCCCUCCGCCUAGGCGGCCGCUGUCAGCGCUGACUUCACGAGCAAUCUGAGCCUGCUGGAGGAGAACGAGGACUUCCCGCAGGCGCCCGGCUCCGUGGCGGCGGCUGCCGUGGCCGCCGCGGGGGGACUGUGCGGGGACUUCCAGGGCCCGGAGGUGGGCAGCCUGCACCCUGCGCCGCCGCAGCCCCCGCCGCCCGGGUCGCUGCCGCAGCAUCCACCAGUGCCCCCCGCCGCCACCUGGCCGGUAGCGGGACAGCCGCGCAAGAGCAGCUCGUCCGCCGCAACGCGUGGGGCAACCUGUCCUACGCUGACCUCAUCACCAAGGCCAUCGAGAGUUCGGCGGAGAAGCUGCUCACGCGUCGCAGAUCUAUGAGUGGAUGGUCAAGAGCGUGCCCUACUUCAAGGAUAAGGGUGACAGCAACAGCUCCGCGGGCUGGAAGAAUUCAAUUCGUCAUAAUCUGUCCGUUACACACCAAGUUCAUUCGUGUGCAGAAUGAAGGAACUGGAAAAAGUUCUUGGUGGAUGCUCAAUCCAGUGGGCGGCAAGAGCGGGAAAUCUCCCAGGAGAAGAGCUGCAUCCAUGGACAACAACAGCAAAUCUGCUAAGAGCCGAAGCCGAGCUGCCAAGAAGAAAGCAUCCCUCCAGUCUGGCCAGGAGGGUGCCGGGGACAGCCCUGGAUCACAGUUUUCCAAAUGGCCUGCAAGCCCUGGCUCUCACAGCAACAAUGACUUUGAUAACUGGAGUACAUUUCGCCCCCGAACUAGCUCAAAUGCUAGUAUUAUUAGUGGGAGACUCUCACCCAUUAUGACCGAACAGAAUGAUCUUGGAGAAGGGGAUGUGCAUUCUAUGGUGUACCUGCCAUCUGCUGCAAAGAUGGUCUCUCCUUUGCCCAGUCUGUCUGAGAUAAGCAAUCCCGAAAACAUGGAAAAUCUUUUGGAUAAUCUCAACCUUCUCUCAUCACCAACAUCAUUAACUAUUUCGACCCAGUUCUCACCUGGCACUAUGAUGCAGCAGACACCAAGCUACUCAUUAGCACCACCAAACACCAGUCUGAAUUCGCCCAGCCCAAACUACCAAAAGUACACAUACCGCCAAUCCAGCAUGAGCCCUUUGCCCCAGAUGCCUAUGCAAACACUUCAGAACAGUGAAUCAAGUUAUGGAGGAAUGAGUCAGUAUAACUGUGCACCUGGACUCUUGAAGGAGUUGCUGACUUCUGAUUCUCCUCCCCAUAAUGACAUUAUGACACCAGUUGAUCCUGCCGUAGCCCAGCCCAACAGCCAGGUUCUGGGCUAGAACGUCAUGAUGGGCCCUAAUUCGGUCAUGUCAAUCUAUGGCUGCCAGGCAUCUCAUAACAAAAUGAUGAAUCCCAGCUCCCAUACCCACCCUGGACACACUCAGCAGACAUCUGCAGGUAACGGGCAUGCCCUGCCCCACACAGUAAGCACCAUGCCCCACACUUCGGGUAUGAACCGCCUGACCCAAGUGAAGACACCUGUACAAGUGCCUCUGCCUCACCCCAUGCAGAUGAGUGCCCUGGGGGGCUACUCCUCAGUGAGCAGCUGCAAUGGCUAUGGCAGAAUGGGCCUUCUCCACCAGGAGAAGCUCCCAAGUGACUUGGAUGGCAUGUUCAUUGAGUGCUUGGACUGUGAUAUGGAAUCCAUCAUUGGGAAUGACCUCAUGGAUGGAGAUACAUUGGAUUUUAACUUUGACAAUGUGUUGUCCAACCAAAGCUUCCCACACAGUGUCAAGACGACGACACAUAGCUGGGUGUCAGGCUGAGAAUUAGUGAGCAGGUUACACUUAAAAGAACUUCAGAUUGUCUGACAGCAGGAACUGAGAGAAGCAGUCCAAAGAUGUCCUUCACCAACUCCCUUUUAGUUUUCUUGGUUUUAAAAUAAAUAAAUAAAUAAAUAACCUUCCUUUUUUCCUUUCGUCAGACUUGGCAGCAAAGACAUUUUUCCUGUACAGGAUGUUUGCCCAAUGUGUGCAGGUUAUGUGCUGCUGUAGAUAAGGGCUGUGCCAUUGGAAAUUUCAUUACAAUGAAGUGCCAAACUCACUACACCAUAUAAUUGCAGAAAAGAUUUUCAGAUCCUGGUGUGCUUUCAAGUUUUGUAUAUAAGCAGUAGAUACAGAUUGUAUUUGUGUGUGUUUUUGGUUUUUUAAAAUACCCAUUUGGUCUAAGGAAAGUUUAUACUCUUUUUGUAAUACUGUGAUGGUCUCAUGUCUUGAUAAGUUAA